UUCUGAAAGCCUCUCUGCUAUGACCUAAAAUUAAGUAAUAAAAUUAGUAUAUACAAUCUAAUGAGAUCACAAUCCAAUAUAUCAUGUGUUUACAAUUUAUACAUUCAACUAUAUAUAUUUUAGAAAUGAAAUUAGACAGGAAACCAAAGUGCUAUCAAUGUGAUUACAGUCAUAUCCAUAAGACAUCAGAAAACAGAGGAAACCCAGGACAUUUGACAAGAGUCACGCUUAUUGGGACAAUUGAACACAUUAGGAGUUUAAGGCUAGCAGAAAGUUAGGAAGGAACUAAAUGUUUUGGCAAGUUUGGGCGCUAGGACAAGAGAGUUAUUUAACAAUGGUAGUAAGACUUGAAUCUAUGAAUUUCAGAAAAAACCUGAUACCAUUUUAACAACUGCCACUCCAGCAUCUUCAGCCCACCAUACCGCUGCUGUCACUAGCGGCUGCACCGCUGCUGUCACUAGCGGCUGCACCGCUGCUGUCACUAGCGGCUGC
rnacentral:misc_RNA from 1 species